AUUGAACGCUGGCGGCAUGCCUUACACAUGCAAGUCGAACGGCAGCACGGGAGCAAUCCUGGUGGCGAGUGGCGAACGGGUGAGUAAAGUAUCGGAACGUGCCCAGUCGUGGGGGAUAACGUAGCGAAAGUUACGCUAAUACCGCAUACGAUCUAUGGAAGAAAGCGGGGGAUCGCAAGACCUCGCGCGAUUGGAGCGGCCGAUAUCAGAUUAGGUAGUUGGUGGGGUAAAGGCUCACCAAGCCGACGAUCUGUAGCUGGUCUGAGUGGACGACCAGCCACACUGGGACUGAGACACGGCCCAGACUCCUACGGGAGGCAGCAGUGGGGAAUUUUGGACAAUGGGCGAAAGCCUGAUCCAGCCAUGCCGCGUGCAGGAUGAAGGCCUUCGGGUUGUAAACUGCUUUUGUACGGAACGAAAAGGUUUGGCCUAAUAAGCUGAGCUCAUGACGGUACCGUAAGAAUAAGCACCGGCUAACUACGUGCCAGCAGCCGCCGUAA
rnacentral:rRNA from 1 species